AAAGGAGUAUUCGUACUCUUAAACCCUUUGUGAACCUUACCUAUCGUCAGUUGCUUCGGCGGGAGGCCCCUGGGAGGGGCCCCGGGGCCCGGCCUGAGCCGGGCUCCCGCCGGAGGAGCGCAAACCAAACUCUUGCUGUACCUCAGUGGAACAUCCGAGUUAAAACAAAUAAACAAGUUAAAACUUUCAACAACGGAUCUCUUGGUUCUGGCAUCGAUGAAGAACGCAGCGAAAUGCGAUAAGUAAUGUGAAUUGCAGAAUUCAGUGAAUCAUCGAAUCUUUGAACGCACAUUGCGCCCGCCAGUAUUCUGGCGGGCAUGCCUGUUCGAGCGUCAUUUCAACCACUCAGGCCCUGGUGCCUGGCGUCGGGGUGUUCCGCCUCACGGCGGAAGCCCCUAGAGACAGUGGCGGACCCGCCGCGGCUCCGAGCGCAGUAGUAAAAUAUCUCRCUAUGGAGGUCCGCGGGGGGGCUUACCG
rnacentral:rRNA from 1 species